GAGGAAUCCGGCUCCGGCCCCUACAACAAUAGCGCCCGCCCACCAGCCUCCCCCCUCCCCCAGCUCCUAGGAGGGAGGGAGGCUUGGGCGGGGUGGGGGGUGGAGGGGAGGAAGACAGAGUGGGGUGAAGAGCUCAGCAGGUGUCUGAAGGAUGAGGAGCUGAGGCAAAGGACCACACUUCCCAACCCAACUCGAGGACUACUGAGUGAGUGGGCUGGGCACUGCCCCUCGGAGAGGAUACUUUUCUGGGUGAACCGGAGAGCAGAGCAGGAUACCACCCAGAGCACUGAUAAGGUAGAAGCUAUUGGCAUCCCUGGACGCCAUCCUACUCGGCUGCCUCCAGGAUCUGGACGGAACCCCCAGCAACUCCCAGAGGGAAGAAAUUAAGAAGAGAAAAAUAGGGAAUUGGACUGCUCUGGCAAGCCAGAUAGGAGUUGGAGGUCAAGGAAAGGAGGAAAAGAGGAAUCGGUCACCUCACCAAGGUCACUCAGGGAAGAUGCCUCACCUAACCCACGCUACAGAGCUUCUCCCAGUCACCACCAGCAAGCCACAAACGCCAAAACCCACCAAGCUGCCAAGAACGUCGCCAUGAGCUCCCAAUGCAGAAAAAAAAAACGUCUCCAACUGACAGUGAGAGAGAGACCGGAGAGAGGAGGUGACAUGAAGUACACUUCAUAGACAGUUCUUUACAUCACUUCCUGUGUCUCACAUGUAUCAAUGGUAGCUUAAGCUUGACUUAAGACAACCCAGGAGUCUGUCAGUUGUUUCUUAUUUGUCACUUGCUAGCACAUGUUGGUCAUAGGCCAUCCUCCUCAACACUUAAUCCUUAAGUAGGGGUGUAUAUAUUUCUGGUUGCUAGAAUUCUAAGACUAAGCAGGGUGGAGAAAAUCUAAAAUUUACAAUGGUAAACAACCUGAUCUGGGUUAUACAUAUAUUAUUAUGCAAAACAUACUUUUAUAUUGGUCAUUGUUGUAAGAGAAUACUCAUAUAAAACGAAAACCCCCAAAUAAAAACAUAAGUAAACUAAAGUGAAAAA